CUGCAUUUCUCUUUCUGGUUUCUAUGGUUUCCUUUUUGCUUUUUACUCCUAUCUCUGCGCCUUUGCGAGAGAUAUAGUGAUACACAGCUGUUCUCCUGAUGCGGAGGAGGUAGAAAAACCUAUUUGACUACUGAUACCACUUUUUUCUGAGGGAUAUUAUGGCCUCCUCAUGGAUUUACCAGUUGCCUCCUAUUGUCAUUCAGUUUCGGUGGAGAGGAACAGAUAACACCCCGGCUAAUCACAUUUUGGAAACAGGAUGCCUGCACAGCGCUCCUAGCUUCGCAACGGUUUAUCUACUCCGCAGCGUAAAGUUGAUCAAGGGUUGUUGAUCACUAUUUCCUUCGAAGCUUGGAAAUUUCCUUUGUUUCGGGUGCUGUCGAUGUCAUUUUUGUCACACGGGAGAGUGUUCUGUAUAUAAGAGACGGCCAAGAAGCACCUGGACAUACUUCACCGUCUUCUCUUCCUUCCUUCCCUCCUUCCCUUGUUCAUCUGACAUACAGUCUUUUUCGUGACGUAUCCAACCUUCAUUUAUCUUUUUGACAAAGAAUACCACGCUCUUUUACUGCUCCCCAGCCGUCCAUUCGGAACUCACGUAUAUACGCUUGUUGAUUCUCGCA
rnacentral:sRNA from 1 species